AAGUAACGCUAGCUAUAUGCUUAACACAUGCAAGUCGAACGUUGUUUUCGGGCGCGCUUGUCUCGCCUUGAGAACAAAGUGGCGAACGGGUGCGUAACGCGUGGGAACAUACCCUUUGCUACGGAACAGUCCCGGGAAACUGGGUUUAAUACCGUAUACGCCCUUCGGGGGAAAGAUUUAUCGGCAAAGGAUUGGCCCGCGUUGGAUUAGGUAGUUGGUGGGGUAAAGGCCUACCAAGCCGACGAUCCAUAGCUGGUUUGAGAGGAUGAUCAGCCACACUGGGACUGAGACACGGCCCAGACUCCUACGGGAGGCAGCAGUGGGGAAUCUUAGACAAUGGGGGCAACCCUGAUCUAGCCAUGCCGCGUGAGUGAUGAAGGCCUUAGGGUUGUAAAGCUCUUUCAGCUGGGAAGAUAAUGACGGUACCAGCAGAAGAAGCCCCGGCUAACUCCGUGCCAGCCGCC
rnacentral:rRNA from 1 species